AACAUUCACUGUUGUGGGCCUGGGAAAGUAAAGGCCAGUGUUGGAGAAGCCUGAGUGGGUAGGAACUGCCGGUGAUGUCUAGGGCCUGAGGGCAGCCUCCAGCAGACUCCAGUGAAAAGCCGAAAGUCUUCAGGCAUACUACCUGAAGACAAUGAAUCCUGCCAAGUCCCUGAAGGAACUUGAGAGCAGAUUCUUCUCCAGUUAAUCCUCCAGAUGAUGGUGAAACCUGAGAAACCCCUUGAAACUCUGAGCAGGUGACCCAGACCAGCCGCACCCAGAUUCUGACCCCUGGAAAUGCAAUCUUGUUACUGAAACACCAGGGGUUCAGUCUAGGUCCUGCUGCUCAUUGCACAGAAAGCCAAUCACUGAAACAACAAGUAUUGCCAAGGAAGAAGGCUUUAACCAGGUGCUGCAGCCCAGGAGACAGGAGCUCAGUCUCAAAUCCAUCUCCCUGAUGGGCUAAAAUUAGGAGAUUUAUAUAGCAGGGAGAAAAAUGUAGCAAUGUGUGAGAAAACAGAAACGCAGGAGGGGUAAGGAAGUAAUCAUGGUGGAUGAGGGGUCCGGCAUCUCUUUGUCUGGAUGUCAUGAUCUGGUGAGUUUCAGUUCUUUGACACUUUUUUUUUGAGAGCCCUGGGGAUCCUUUCCUGAGGAAGAAACUCAGAUAAAACAUGUAAGUUUCAAACUUUAAGACCAGGAGGGUUAAUUUCUAUGUUCAUCUAAAAAGCAACUGUUGGUAGGACUAUUAGAUCAGUUUCAAUCUUCUUCUUUUUUCCAUUUCCACGUUCACUAUUUUUUAGUAUCUGGCACAGUGCUUGGCACAAAAUAGCUUCUUAAUAAAUUGUUGUUGAAUAGACUGAUCAAAAUAAUUUUUAUCUCUUAAAGUACUGAAUCAAUUGUAUGUGCUAGUAGCAUUGAACUUCUUCACAUCACCUUGAACAAAAAUGCAAAUUUAAGUGUUAAAAAAAAAGUCACAGAAGAGAAGCACUGCAGGGAAGUGUUGCACUCCGCACCGUGUGUUGAAGAAGGUCAAACGGCAUAACUCUAUACAGCCAAUUCGCAUUUAGCAUGCACAUGGAAUCAAAGAUUCUUCUUUAAAUAUCGACAUAAAUACACAGAAUUUUCUGAUGAUUAAAUAUGAGCAAUAACAAGGGAAACUUGAUUACCACUUAAAACAUUUGACUCUGAGUCUGGGAACAGUCCAAGGCUUCCGACUAGAUGAACUUACCAUGAGUGUAGUUCAUUAGGUUCCUUGAUUAGAACACAGCGAGGCCCAAAUCAGAAUCUGAAUUCCUGUGGAGACCACGUUAUCGGCACUUGAUACCAUGGCCAACUCCUAACUCUAAAGAGCAAUUCUGAGUCGUUGGUCUUAAGAUGAUCUGAGUGAGAAGAGGAUGCAGUUUUAAAUUAAACCUGUCAUUACCACUGGGGAGACAAUCGCAGCUGUAAAGACUUUCACUCUGCGCUCUGAGGACUUCUUUUCUGCAAUUACAGCUAAUCCAAAAACAAAACAAAACAUUAAACAAUCUUUUAAGUAAAGUGCUGGGAUGGAAUUUUUCUUGAGUACAGUUCAACUGAAAAUGUAUUCACCAGAGCAAAGUUAUGACUUUAUGAAAAGCUAAUGCUAACUCAUUAGAUUUACUGGUAGCAUUGGUAGAAAUAGUUUAAGGUUCGGUUGUCACCUGCAAAAUAAAAAUGGCAGCUAUAUUCUUUACUAUAAGACAAAAAAAAAAAAAAAAGAAUUAUGGAAUUAGAUCCCAAACCCAAUUUUAAGAGAAAUUUUCAAUCUAGGAAAAGUGAGAGUAUAAUGAGUCUUGUUCUCUUUCACCUCCGUGGAACAGAAAAACAACACAGUGUUUCCUUUGUUUUUCUUAUUGCUGUUGUUUGUUUUCUUUUGUUUUUAGCUCAACUGCAAAUGGAUUUUUCUCAUCAAGUAAUACAAAAAUAUUAAAUUCUGGUUGUUUUAGUCAGAAAGAAGAAUAUUUCUUAUUGUGAUGGUAAGCUUAAUAUAUUACAAAUUUAGUAUCCCUAAGCCAAGAAAAAAGAAAUAGUCUAAGCAAUUACUUGUCAUUGUCAGACUAUUACAAUUCUAUCUUUUCCUGGAAUAAUAACAGAGACAUUAAAGAUUAUUAAACUUUCUGACAAAUAUAAGAUAACACAGAUCAACUUAAUUCAGGAAAUUUCAAUCAUAAAAUAUCACAAACAGAAAUGAAAAAG
rnacentral:lncRNA from 1 species